rnacentral:piRNA from 1 species
UCUGAAUUCUGAUGUUAAUCUUCAAUCUGC